rnacentral:misc_RNA from 1 species
UAUGACGUCAUUCGUUUACCCCAACAUCGAUACCACUACGAAGGUCGACUAGUGUCGUGACAAAAUCCAAUUCUCAACAGUUCGCAGUGGACUAUUCGCAUUGAAAAUAUAUUUUUACACACAUUUUUAUAGUGGUAACUCUAGUGCAGUGAACAGUGAAGUGAAAUGAGCCACGAUUGUUAACCGCAUUUAUAAUGUCGAAGACUUUAAACGCGUACAGAAUAAAGAAGAUCGAGUCCCUAGGCAGGAUGACGGCGAUGACGCAGGAGGAAAUGGUGGCCGGCGCGCGUACGGUCGCCGCCGGGCUGGAGGCGCUGCGGGCUGAACACGCGCAGCUCCUCGCCGGCCUGGCAGCCAACACCGAGCACGAGCAUGAGAAGGCAGCGCUGGUGAGGAAGAGCAUCGACGCGAUCGAGCUCGGGCUGGGAGAAGCACAGGUAAUGAUGGCCCUAGCCUCCCAUCUGCAAUCAGUUGAGGCGGAGAAGCAAAAGCUUCGCACGCAGGUGCGCCGGCUGUGCCAGGAAAACGCGUGGCUCCGCGACGAGCUGGCCGCCGCCCAGCAGCACCUCCAGGCCUCAGAGCAGAGGGUCGCGCAGUUAGAAGAGGAGAACAAGCAUCUGGAUUUCAUGGCUUCUAUACGCAAAUACGACAGUGACAUGACCGAAGAGUCGGAGAACAACCGCAGCGGGCAGGGCGAGAAGAAGCGCGACGAUCCCAUGGUGGAACUGUUCCCAGACGACGACCACGAGGACAACAGGAAUAACAAAUCGAUGUCCCCAACCCCGCCGAUGCACUUCGCCCAACAAGUGAACGCGGGCUACGAGAUUCCAGCUCGCCUGCGCACGCUGCACAACCUGGUGAUCCAGUACGCGUCGCAGGGACGGUACGAGGUCGCCGUGCCGCUCUGCAAACAGGCCCUCGAGGACCUGGAGAAGACCUCGGGACACGAUCAUCCCGACGUCGCCACUAUGUUGAAUAUUCUCGCGCUUGUGUACAGAGAUCAAAACAAGUACAAGGAAGCGGCCAACCUGCUGAACGACGCGCUAUCCAUCCGCGAGAAGACGCUCGGCGAGAACCACCCGGCCGUCGCCGCCACGCUCAACAACCUCGCCGUGCUGUACGGGAAACGAGGAAAAUACCGCGAGGCGGAGCCACUGUGCAAGCGCGCGCUGUGCAUCCGCGAGGCCGUGCUGGGCCGCGACCACCCCGACGUGGCCAAGCAGCUCAACAACCUGGCGCUGCUCUGCCAGAACCAGAACAAAUAUGAGGAGGUGGAGCAGUAUUACCAGCGCGCGCUGGAGAUAUACGAGAGCAAACUCGGACCCGACGACCCUAACGUGGCCAAGACAAAGAACAACCUCGCUUCUUGCUAUCUCAAACAGGGCAAGUACAAGGAGGCCGAGACUCUUUACAAGCAAGUGCUGACGCGAGCACACGAGAGAGAGUUCGGCACUAUCGACGGUGACAACAAACCGAUCUGGCAGGUGGCAGAGGAACGUGAAGAGAAUAAACACCUUCAGAAGGAGAACGCUCCUUACGGCGAGUACGGCGGUUGCUUUCCAAAGCUGCCAAGGUGGACUCGCCAACAGUGACAACCACUCUAAAGAACCUGGGAGCUCUGUACCGACGUCAGGGCAAGUACAGAAGCCGCCGAGACACUCGAGGACUGCGCCCUCCGCAGCCGAAAGGAGGCGUUGGACAUCGUGAAGCAGUCGCGCGCCCGGAGCGCCCGCCACGGCUCGCGCGACAACAUGGAGCACCACGACCACCACGACGAGGGCACGAACCAAGCGAGCGAGCCACGCAUGAACCUUAAGUCAAAGUUGUUCAAUGCGCUAGGAAUCAACACGGGGAGCAAUGCGCCGCACCAGUAGUGUAGACUUAGGUUUAGACCUAGAAUUAGAUACUAAGUACUCACUCGCUUCACGCGUACACGGUCCUAUAACUCGUCUUGGAAAAGUAUAUGACGAUGGUGCUAUUUUUAAUGUGAACGAUAUAUCAAAAACAAUCGUUUUGAUAUAUUAAAUCUAUCGAUAAACCGUGCUGUACCUGUCGAUAUCGCUUAUCGAUUAGUGAUUAAUUUCCGAUUUAAUAAUGUGUGCAAUUUGAUUAACUUUAAUGAGCCAUCGUUGUACUCUCGUCUGAGAUUUUAUAUUCUCGCUCACUAUUAAAGGAUCAUGUACGUUCACACAUUAUACCGCGCCAUUUUGAAUUUUGCUAUGACAAGAAGGUCAUCGCAGAAUUCGAUGUGUCGUUAUUAAUAGCUUAGUAUUAUUUAUUAGCAUGCGGUAGGUUAAUUUUAUGGAAGAAAAUCUAAAAAAAAAUUACAAAGUGUGAUAGUGAGAAAUUAUUAUCGAAGCAUGCAUGCCGUCCGUGUCGAUAUUGAAAUACGAUGCAAA